CCAUUCCUCAUGGUGGUUUGCAGAUCUGGCGGGCCCCAUACCCGCGGCACGUCAGGAGGGCGGAAGGGCUCGGAUCGUGCCUGGGGGUUCGGAUCCAGAUGGAACGUUGCGGGCGGGUGCCUCGCGUGCCGCCGCUGGACGCACCUCCUCCGGGCCGACGACACGGUCGCGUACUGCGGCCUCGUCACCUGCGCCGCCUGCACGGUCGCGCCCGCCGGGGUCGUGUCCUCGCCGCCGCGGUACAAGCCGGGCACUCGCAAGCCAAGCUCGUCGGGAGACUAUCAAGUCCAUCAUGGCGGACCGGUCAUGUACAACGAAGAAUGUCCUCGCACUGGUUGCUGUGAGGUAUCAAUGGCUUCUAGAUUCUAUAGAAUGGUUCUUGCCGUUCGAUUAAUAUUUAUGACUUCCAUAACCUUCUGCAUAUGUUUAAUCGAUACACAUGCAGUUCUAUCUGAGUCGCACUAUUUCAUAACUUUUUCUUUUUUGUGGUAUCCCCUAUAAUGAGUAUGUGCGGUACAACCAAGCCUGUUGCUUCGAAUAAUUAAGAAAUUGCUUUAACUAUUGCAGAGAAUUUGGGUCCAUAAUCUCAAACUAUAUAUGUCAAUCCUCGUAUUUUUGUUUGGUCUCCUUACUGUAUAAAGGUAUAUUUCUUUGAUUUAGACUGUGGCAUUUCUAAAUGACAUGUAUUAUUUGGGGAAAUUAGUCACAUGUUUAUUUUUUACUAGGUUGAGAUAAAGAAUUUACAAAUAUAAAGUUCUCAUUUUUAUAUGCCAAAUCCUCGACUACCUGAUGGCCGCUAUGAUCCGCUAUGCCCGCCGCACGACACCCACCACGACGGCAUCCACCGAGCCCCCUCAUCCUCCACGGCUGCCGGUGAGUCACGUUACUCAAAUAUUUUUUAGGUGCUGCUGCCAUGAUUUGUUUGACAUCUUGUGUUUUUCCUCUUUUUCCAUUAUGAAUGUGAGUUCUGUAUGCAAAUAUGAUGGCCAUUUGCAAAGGCAAUUAUCUAGAUGAUCCUUUGUUCUCCAUGUCUUUUAGGUGUUUGAUAAAUUACCGGUAAGGUGAAUUGGCAACAGCUAAUUGUGGUGUCACACCAGUAUUCAUGGUAGUGAGUAUUAUCCCUGAUUUUCGUGAUGGACAUGCUAUAUUACAGAGCAACAUUUACGUUGGGAUAUAGGUGUUCAAAGAAAAAUAUGUAUCUUUUCUCGAUUCUCAGAUGUCAUACAUGUGAGAAGUGUGAACUAAUCAAUCUUGCCACUGGGGAUCUCUAAACAAUAUCUAUUUCACUAAGUACAGUUGAAUUGGAUGGCAAAUGGAUUAUCAUGAAGAAUUGAGAUGGUGUGGCCAAUGUGGCUGCUCCAUUAGAGCUGGUAUGUUUGUUUCAUGUGGCUGCACUAUUAGAGCCGAUAUGUUUAUUUUCUUUGAGCAAAGCUACUUUCCUUCUUAAAACUGUAUCAUGGUAUAUGUUUAUUUUCAAGAUGAUGCAGGUUCAGUGUCAACUUUGACUAAAAACUUUGCUUUUCUGCUUCAGAUUAGAAUGGAUGACCUUUCUUAUUCCCAAUUUGAUCCAUACCAUUCGUUGUUGAACAGUUUUUGAGCUGCGUGAGGCUGAUGACCACAUGCUACUCUGGAGAUCUUCAGGCACAUUGUUAGUUCUGGGUGUUAUGCAUUGCUUUUAGAUUUACCAGUUAGAUUGGUUCCUGUCAUCAUUUUUGAAAGCACAACAUAUAUAUUACUCUGAGUAGCCUUUUAGAGGAGUUCUGAUGAUGUCAUUAUCUGAGCCACAUAGACUUUGCAUUUUUGCUUUGGCAUCUACAAGAUACUUCUUGGUUGUGAUGUUUGGCUUAAUUUCUAGAAGCAUUUUGGAUGGGUGCGUGCAUAGCACUUUUUGACUCAAUUUAAUUAACCCAUAUCCCUUUCAACUGGUGUUGUGAUAUUCCAGUACUAUAAGGCAUUGUUGUCCACAAUUGGUUUGAUCCCCUCCUGCUCUCCAUAGGUAACUAAUCCACAAUUGCGUGGAUUAGUUAGCAAGUGCCGUGUCCACGAGUGAGAUCCGGCACAUGGACUAUCUGUGCAGGCACAACCUCUCUUAUGAGUUUUGUUUCCCUGGCUUCACAGCGUUGAUAUGAUGUACACUGUAGCCUUCCGAGAUUUUAAGUUUGAGCUGUUGAGCACAAAUAUUUUUGUAUCUUCUUUCUGAUUCUUGCUUAGAGAUCAGAUAUUUUAUUUAGGGGAAUCACCAGAUGCUAGGUGCAUUUUAUUUCCUUUUGACAACCUUUCGAAUUGAUGUAAUCUUGCUUGCACGGCAGACCAUUUUUGAGCUGGGAGUUGUGACAGAUGACA